UCCAAAGCCAAUCUAAUUGAAUCCAAUUCAAUUAGAUCUGAUCCAAUCUUCAUUGCUCAAUCAAAUUGAGUCAAUUAACAAUCAUAUUGUUAAUUAAUUAUUUUUUUAAUUUAUCAACCACUAGUAAAUAAUUUAUUAUAACUUUUGUAAAGGAUUAAUCAUCAAUCACAUUGAUAAUUAAAUCCUUCAACGAUUCAUAAUCAUUGAUCAGCCAUUUGAUCAGACAGGUACUUCUAUGUGUGUAACCCCAUAGGUUC
rnacentral:lncRNA from 1 species